AUUGAACGCUGGCGGCAGGCCUAACACAUGCAAGUCGAACGGUAUCAGGAAACAGCUUGCUGUUUCGCUGACGAGUGGCGGACGGGUGAGUAAUGUCUGGGAAACUGCCUGAUGGAGGGGGAUAACUACUGGAAACGGUAGCUAAUACCGCAUAACGUCGCAAGACCAAAGAGGGGGACCUUCGGGCCUCUUGCCAUCGGAUGUGCCCAGAUGGGAUUAGCUAGUAGGUGGGGUAACGGCUCACCUAGGCGACGAUCCCUAGCUGGUCUGAGAGGAUGACCAGCCACACUGGAACUGAGACACGGUCCAGACUCCUACGGGAGGCAGCAGUGGGGAAUAUUGCACAAUGGGCGCAAGCCUGAUGCAGCCAUGCCGCGUGUAUGAAGAAGGCCUUCGGGUUGUAAAGUACUUUCAGCGGGGAGGAAGGGAGUAAAGUUAAUACCUUUGCUCAUUGACGUUACCCGCAGAAGAAGCACCGGCUAACUCCGUG
rnacentral:rRNA from 1 species